ACGCAGGCACACACCCAACAUCGCCAUGGACCAGUAGCUCAAGCAUUCUUCUUCCUGAUGGUGAUGGGGUUCCCUCACCAUCUUCAGGUCGUCAUCCUUGAGGCCUCCACCAUCUGCAUGCGCACGCCAUCAGGCUCUUCCAGUCCAGGGGCAACCAGGCCCGAGUCACCAUCAUCCCGAUGUUGCCACGAUGGGUGGCGGCAGCGGACAGACCAAUGCACCUUGCGGCGAUAUCUACGUUAGGGAGGGUGUUGUUGCCGUCCACCACGAUAACAACCUGUGUUGUGUCGAUUUUAGAUUCUUUGGUGACGAAUUGGACUACAUCCCGCUGAAGGCCGCUUAUCCUGCUCAUGAGCGAGGCUACUUAAAAGCAAUCCUAGAAUUAUUUCUUCAAGAUAACUAUGCUUGGAUUCACAAAUGCAUGCAAUUGCCUUCAAAUGGAGGUUACUUCUUUACUAAUUAUGUGCUAUUUCACUUUCAAGUUUGGUUCUAGAAGUGUAAUACUUGCUAGGUUAGCUGCAGAAGCGGGAUGUAUAUGGCCUGAAUUUAUAUUUCAGAGUGUAUAAACUGAUUCAGAGUAUUCUGACAUCUGAAACAUUUUGUUGUAUGGUUCUGUCUUGAAAGAACUGAAGUAAUUCUUCUAUGGGAGAUAAUAUAAACGUGAUUCUGAAACAACAUGCAGCAUCAUUCAGUUUCUUCUAAAUAUAUCAUUAUAAAAU